CUGAAAAGGAAAAUAAUCCAGAGAGAGACAGAUCGAGAGAGGGAGAAGAAUUGAAGUAAACUGAGAAGAUCGAGAGAGACAUGUCGAGAGAGAGACAGGUCGAAUAGUUAGGUCGAGAUCUGAAAUCCCAUGAUUUUUUUUACGGCGUGAAGAACUGAACCGAGAAGAUUCAAGGAUACUGAAACAGCAUCUCAUGGACGACUAAUGACAACAGAGUUUAUGAUUAUAGCUAGGAGAAAGAAAUGAUAAGGUAAAACAGCCCUUUUGUUCUUUAUGAUUAUAGGCCAUUAAAUGAGUGGGUGGUAGUGGGUGUCCCUUUUCUUCUUUGUGAAAAUGUUUAGGCCUUGUUUUGUAGCUAAAUGACAUAUGCCUGCAGAAGUCUAACUGUUGAUUAUUAGUUCGUUGUUUGCAUCGAAGCAUAACGAACUUUGGGUGUUUAUGCUUGUGGAAAACAUGUAAAUUCCUCUAAUGGGUAUUUUUUUUUUCGUAUAUUAUGACCCAAAAUGCUGCACUUGUUUGUUGGUUUCGUCAUUAGACAAUUAUCUGUAAAAUUGGGUCAUACUUGAACUUGUGUUCUGGUUUGUUAUUUUGUUUGUGCAUAAUCAAAUUUCAUUUUUAGUGGUGUCUCAGCUGCUUUAUUUGUUGAGACCCUCAGACUGCAUUUGUAUAGCUGUUGAAAAUGUUCUUAUUAUGUACAGGUUUGUGGAAUGCUAGUGCAUUCAUAGAUAAAUAUGACAUACCUUCUUAAGUUAUUAUAUUUGUGGCAAAGCAUAGUAUCUGAGAUGUAUAUUAAAUUUUUAUAUUGCUGUUAUUUUGUUAAUUUUUGUAUUUAUAGUUUUGAUCAUGAUUAUUAAUUUGUUUUGUUUUUGUUAAAUGUUUCGGAAUGGGUAGUGAGGGUAGGAAUUUCUGGAUAACUGAUAUAGGUGGUCGGUUUAGGAACUUGUAUUGUUUUGGUUGUAAAGCUGGUACCAGUGGAGAAGCUUUCAUGGCUAUGCUAAAGAGCAGGUUGGUGAAUGAACAGGGUAUGGAUUCUACACUUGAACUGUUUUUAUUCAAUGAUGAGAAUGGGAAUGCAUGUGAUAAGUGUGAAUCAGUGGCAGUGUGUAUUUCAUUUUGGAAAAAUGGGAAACCAGAUAAGGACAAUUUGGUAAGACUGUGGUUCACUCCAAUUAUUCCUACACAAACAGAAUGGGGUUUUGUUUACGAUACUACUAGUGUUAGUGGGGUAAGUGGUAUGACUAAUUUUAUCAUCUGGUGACCUUGUUCCUGCUAGGAAAGAUCUCAUUCAGGUGAUGUGAAAUCUUAGAGGUAACUUCCAUUGUGAUCCUUCUGAAGAGCGCAAAGGUAUCUGGUUGCCAACAAAGCUACCAGCAAAGUAUUUGUUGUUCGGGUAGAAGAAUGAUCUUGUAUAUGUCGACAAUCGCAGUUGAGGCAGUUCUAAUGCUUACAUGGUGUGGUUCCAUUGUUUAAAUUGAAUCCUGAUUGGUCCAAGUACUGCAGUAAAUACUACACUGUGUGCAGGUACUGCACAAAAUACUCCAGUUGACCCCAAGAAGAAAGGAGUUAGAAUGGAAGGCCUUGUCUGCACCAAUAUCUGCAUCAAAUAAAUCUGUUGAUGUACCACCAUUGUCAAAGGGAAAAGCAGCUGCUACUACACCUACUUCUUCUUCAGCUGGUUCCCAGAAAAAGAGUAAGACAACUGCACCAUCCUCUUCCACUGCAGCUGAUGUUGGUGCUAAAAGGAAGGUAACACAUCCAUCUACUUCUUCCGCACCUUCUUCUACUGCUUGUUUUAACCAGACUUAUAAUGGUACAGUCCAUAUUUCUAGCCAAACCAUUAACAUCACCGAACCAUCAUCAAAAAGGGUUAGAAAGCCUAAUUCUAAAUAUCAGAAAUGUCGGGUUCCAGUUUCCUUUUUUCUUUUAGCAUUUCUAGACCUAUGCAAUAUGUAAUGGCAGACAUACUAGUCACUUCAUGUUGGCAGUCUUUUAUUUAUACAUCUAUGGUUUAAAAAGACAGUGGUGAUUUUAUUUGUUAAUUUAUCCCAUUUCUAGACA